AUAUAUAUAUAUAUAUAUAUGCCAUAUAGACUACAGGGAUGUACCCAGAAUUAGAAAUAUACCCAAAUGACCUGGAUUAAAAAAAUAUCUAUUCUACACACACUGCUUAUCGGACACUUUUUGCUUCUUAUAUUAAAGCGCACUUGUAAACAAACAGAGAACUGAAUUUCAGCAUCAAGGCACAAAGAAAUAUCAGUCAAGAGCGGAGGCGUCCAUGUGUGAGGUUUCAUUUGCGAGGGGGAGGAGGUGGCGGUCAGCGCCGGGCCCAUGGCUCCUCCGGCAUUUAAUUAAAAGCAAACAUGGAGGAAUGUGGACGUGAACAGUCCUCCCCCCCUUACACACACACACACACAUACAGAGCAAUCACCCAGGAAGGAAAAACAAAGGACCCUCGCUGGAAGUAGCACGCCACCCCCGGCCCGAAUGAAUGGAAGGCUGCUACAAUAACUCUUUUUUUGCACACUCAUCACUCCUCAAUCAGCCUCCCGGCAGAGGAGGAGGAGCUUACCGGUAAAUUGCAGGAGUUCUUCGUCCUCUGCCCGACAGCAGGGGUUUCCAAUCAAACCCGUCGCCUGCUUCAGGAAGGCAUCUGAUUGGAAGAGGCCUGACUCAGCAUUGUUAUCGCUGUCUGGGGUUUGUUUUGGGGGUUUUUUUUUCUUCCCCGUUUUAUACCAGGUUCCCAAACAAAAACUUUCUUCACACGACCUGAAAUGCAAAACGAACCUUAAGAGCUUCCCAAGCUUCCUUCAUGAGACAAAACCACAAAAACGCUGCGUAAUUCCGAAUGGCAGAAAUGAGAACAGCGUUCACUUCAGAAGCGUUUCAGAUUGCAUCCAAAGUUAAAGAUUUUCUUGAAGUUAGUACACCAGAUGUCUGCGUGUCCCAGACAUCUGUCUGUGAGCUCCCUGGUUGCCAAUUUAACGACCCUCAUUUGCCGCACCACCAGCAGAGACCAAUGAGGCGUACAGACACAAAAGAGUGCAACUCGCUGCCAGGCUCGCAGUCCUUCUCUUUGGGGCCUCUGUGCUUGAAUACAGGCCUCGUUUGCCAGCUCCCAUCAUGCAGCAGAGGGCAAAAUGUCCCCAGACAGACUCAAUGGGCAUACUGUGCUCUAGAUGAAACGGCCAUGAAGCCACGAUAAGGCCCCCGACUCCAAGUUUACUCCAUUUUCUCCCGCUGUUGCGAAAUCCAGUUUGAAAACAUUCGUUCAUCUUCAGGCUGGUUCUGGGAUCCGAAGACUAUCCCGGGAACGCUGCGCUCGAGGUAGCGAUACACUCCGUCCAGCAUGCACAGAAGCCUAGGAGCCAGCUGUCUUAGCCAAUCCAGGACAGAGGAAGCUGGAGAAAAGUUGCGCAGACUGACGUUAACCCGAGCUCGCUGUCGAACCACGGACCCUGGAGCUACAACUAGGAAACUGCUAACGCUAACCUAUAAUAAAAAUAAAUGGCUCCAUCCUGGACACAAUAGGUGUUAAAGCUGUCAAAUCCCCAUUAAGAAUACAGUGCGUGAGGCAGAGCUAUACGACGGAUCCGAAUCGACGAUAUCCCGUGCCCGGGAACGACAUUAAACAUCUUGCAGUGCCAGCUCGGAAUAGGAGCACCAUUUAUUAUAUAAGCUCAUUACAGAGAGGCCAUCAGAUGGAUAGGAAAAGGAGAUCAAAUGAGAUCUCGGCCGUCUGUACGAUCACAUGCAGAGCACGGAUGGUUCAGGCCUGCCGCUUUGCUCUCCCAAGAAUUAAUCAGCGAGACAGUCUGUGUUCCCAGCAGCGUAAUAUGUUAAGCUGUAUAAAAUCCGCUUCCUCUUCUUCCUCUCUUCAGACGAAAGUAGAAAGGGCUUUGACGCUGGAAAGAAACUCGGGAAACACAGGAGCUAGAGACCGACAGCUGAGAUUCGCGCUAUACACCUAGACCCUAAAAAGUGGUGAUUCAAUCGGACGCACAUAUGAUACGCGCAUAAUAUAAUAUACCCGGACUUCCUGUUCACGUCUAUCGCGCCACGAGGCACAGUUCCCUCCGAAACUACUGGAACGGCAGGGCCGGUUCAUUUAUUUAUUUCUGUAGACUGAAGACGUUGGGGUUUGAGAUCGUCACCCCGUCGUUUAUUUGCUGAUAUUUAUAUGCGGACGUGAGAAAAUGAGAAAAACGCGAGCCAUUUUGAAGCUGGGAAAAGAGGGGAAAUCUAAAAGAGGCAUUAAGCGUAGCCGAUACAACGAUUUGGGACGUCCUGAAAAAGAAAGAAACCACUGGUGUACUGAGCGACGGACACAAAAUGGGUCACAACAGAAACGUUGUGAGAAAACCCCCAAAAACAACAGUCAGUGACAUCACCAGCAACCUCCACAGGGCAGGGGUGAAGGUACAGGACCACAAUCCACUGUUUGAAGAAGACUUCGAGAGCAGAAUUAUAGAGGACGCACAAGAUGCAGUCCACUCAUCAGCAGGAAGAGUCAGAAAGCCAGAUUGGAAUUCCCAAAGAAAUACAGAGAGAAAGUUCUGGAACCGAGAUGAACCUCUAGCAAAGAGAUGGAAAGGACAAAGUGUGGAGAAAGAAAGGAUCUGCUCAUGAUCCGAAACGUACAAGCUCAUCUGUGAAACAUGGUGGAGGUAGCGUCAUGGCUUGGGAUCGCGCGUCUGCUUCUGGAACAUUCUCACUCAUCUUUAUUGACGAUGUAACUCAUGAGGGUAGCAGCAGAAUAAAUUCAGAAGUCCACAGAAACAAGCUGUCUUCCAAUUAUUCCAAGUAUUACUGCAUGAACUUCAUCAUGCAGCAAGACAAUGAUCUAAACCUCACUGACGACUCAACAAAGGACUUUAAAAAAGCCUGGAAAGGCAUAAUGAAAGAAAAACCCAACAGUUUGGUGAUGUCAAUGAGCCGCGCUUGAUGCAGUUAUUGCACGCGAGGGAAAUUCAACCAAAUAUUAAAUGUCAUUUACUUUAAUGUACUUCAAGACUGGUCUGUUCCUAUACUUUUGCACACCUACAAAUUGGAUGGACGGAUACGAACCGUUCUACGUUUUACGUUGUUUAACACGUCUAGAUGUAAACACCAGGAAAUAAAAGCUGGAAUCUCGUCUCGUGCCCAUCGUUUGAUCUCGAACCCGAACGUCUUUGGUAUGGAAGUAUUUUCUAAACUGAUUGCGAAUGGUAUUGUGUCGUACGCAGACCCGGCCAAAAUACAAACGGAGCUGCAACUCCCUUUGCAUUUGCAUUUGCGAUGCCUUGCACAGAAACCUGUCAGUGUUGAGGCUGGGGGUUUAGUAAUGGGGUGUGUUGGUAUUUGGAAGUGAUGCGAGUCACCGUCGACGCCCGAGAAGGAGAACGUGCUGAUUGAAGGCAGAGUGUAGAAUUUGUGAGGUAAAGAUGUCACAUCGAGCAGGGUCUGUUAACGACCUUCACAGGCAUACUGGAAUUAUCCAUCUAGAUUUGCACAUCGUAAUGUGUGUUGUUUUUUUUAUUUGUUAUAUGGCACGCCGUGGUCCGUUUCUGAAUGGAAUUUGUUUGGAAUGGUUUGUGUUUUGGACGGUUCGAUAUAAAUAAAGUGUUCAAUACACGUGUAAUAGUGUUUGACGUUUUUUUACGUUAUUUAAGGUUUUUAUACCAUCCAUAAUGUAAAACUGUGGUAUUUGAGAAACUGUAAGGCUCCGUAUAAUUACGCUCAGCAAUCCAAGUGAUAUACGUGCACACAUACCAAUCAUAGGUCGAAACAUUUGCUACGUUUGGCUGAAUUAUAAAAGCAAGAAGUGGUACUAAAUGAUGAGCUGUUUGGGAGCCGAAAGAGCUGGGCUGAGCUGGGCCAAAUGAUCUGGCUCAAUGAAAACUUCUUGGCCGUUGUCCGCAAGGCGCUCUGAAAUGCGGUCGACUGUGAGUUUGGACGUUACGUCGAAAUACAAACACGUCCUCCCACAUAUACUCCCACCGCCAACACUGAUUCGGUUUCUGUGCGAGGCAUUGGAAAUGCACAUGCGAAAGGGAGUUGCGAUUCCAUUAGAAUUUUGGCAGGCUGCAUACGUCACGCCGAGGACGUGAAAUCGCAAACGGGGUAAUUGCUAUUGCUAUUUCGAUAUGACAGGCUCAUAACUCGUAAGACAUGGGAAAAAUGGACUUUGCUUUUCCGUUUGAAACUUGGCAGACAUUGUACGUCCGUGUAAAUGAAAAUGCAACGGGUAAUGCGCGAUUUGAAUUUAGGAAACGCGACCGCAGGUACAAUUCGCAAUUAGUUUUGAAAAUAGUCCGUAAAACACUUCCAUACUUUGGGCUACAACACAAGCACAUGGAUUGGCCUUUCCAUUCCAAUAGUUUCGGAGGGGACUAUAUAAGAGUUCACAUUUGAAACAUUAAACAAUUCAUACUAGCAAGUACCGAAUUUACAGUAUGACAUAAUAAAGAAUUGACAUUACGAAGUAAUAAAGAAUUGACACUGAGUUAAUCAAGAAUUUACACUAUACGGUAAUACAAAUUAAUACUAUGAGAUAUUAAAGAAUUUAAACUAUGAGGUAAUAAAGAAUUGGCACUAUGAGAUAAUACACAGUUUACGGUAUGAGGUAAUAAGCAACCUACACUAUGAGAUAAAGAAUUUACUCUAUGAGAUAAUAAAGAAUUGGCACUGUGAGGUAAUAAACAAACUACACUAUGAGAUAUUAAACAAUUGACACUAUGAGUUAAUGAACAAUUGACACUAUGAGUUUAUUAAAAAGUUGCACUUAGAGGUAAUAAAGAGCUGACACUAUGAGAUAUUAAAUAAUUUAAACUAUGAGGUAAUAAAGAAUUUACACUAUAAGGUAUUGAAAAUGUACACUAUGAGGUAAUAGAACGCAUCUAUGAGGUAGUGAACACUGAGGUAAUAGAACGCAUCUAUGAGGUAGUGAACACUAUGAGGUAAUAGAACGCAUCUAUGAGGUAGUGAACACUAUGAGGUAAUAGAACGUAUCUGAGGUAGUGAACACUAUGAGGUAGUACAGAUCUAUAAUAGCUAUACUACAGAAGAUCUAUAACAGAUGAGCAUGAUGAUGUCAUAACUGUGUAAUUACACUGCUGUAGUCACUAGUGUCAAUGCUAAAAUAUCAAAUAAAUACCUGAACGUACCAUAUGGAGAAUUAAAAUGGACACUGAACAUCACAAAGGUUCAAUGUUAACUUCUUCUCCAACCUUUUCUCUUCAAAAAAAAAAAUCAACCUAAUUUCUUCUGUCCCCGACAUAGAUAUUUUUUGUAUUUUCACGACUAUUUUAGGCUAAACACAAGCUAGUGUCUGUAGUUAAGGUAACCCUUUAAACGAGCCCACAUUAUCGCGAUGUACUUUCGCCUCGCUGAAAGAGGUUUCAUAACAAAACACUGGCUUUCUGUUAGCGCCUUUUUUUCCUCUGCCGAGACAUCUGAGAUGACACUUGAGCGCCAGUUUUCUAACAGAAUAUAAAUCAACCUACAGAAACGUUCCCGAUCGGGCAUGAGGUCUGCGGCUCGCCUCGCCGUAUCCUCCCGUUCCUCUGUCAUUUCGCUUCAUGUCUCGCUCUGCAGCUGACUGACGACAAAUAACACCAUUUGUUUAUUUUUACUGCAUGCGCAACUGGAUUGGACCCUUUUUUUUUUGUUGUUGCAUUGCCAGAGGUUAAACAUUCAAGUGGAGUGAAUAGGCAUUAAUGACACUGUUCAGUUCAACAGAUCGGACCACCUGAAAAAAACUGAUCACCAACUUGUCCCUAUGUGGUGUGUUACCUGCCCUGGGCAUUCAGCCGAUCGUUACUCUCGAACCCUGACCAUUCCCAUUAUUAUCGAGAUGAUAUUCAGGAUCAUACAAUAAACCCAUCACUGCAAUACUGUUCUGUGACAUCCAUACCAGGUUUAAAAUAUAAUCGAAAAAUCUCUGAAACACCCCUGCCCUACUUCCAGGGUGAAAUAAACCCAGUGACAUGGCGACCGUAAAAAAGCACCAUUUUGGCUGUCAGACCGUUCCCGAAUAAUUUAACCACCAUCACUUUAUUUCCAGUCCAAUUAGGCUCACCGAUGGCGUAUGCGAUGCGAUAUAAACGCACGGUCUCGACAUACAGAUGGCCUGAAUACAGAGUUCAUACUGCAGAGCACAACCGGGUUAAAUACGCCUGCGCGUCAACAACGACCGAUCGAUUUCUUUUAUUAUGCAGCACGGAUCAAUCAACCCACAAGCAGCCUCGGUAUAAAAGAGACGUCCGGUGUGCGAAUCGAGUGUCCGCGGCGUAUCGGAACAAGCCAAGGAUCUACGUGAUAGAUUACUAGUAAGAUAGCUGAUUGUUAUCAAAACUGUUAAUGAGUUAUAGCGGUGCGUUGAGUUGAAGUUCUGCUAACAGCAGUGGUGCUGUUGUGGUCUGUGGGGUUGAGGAAUUGAUCGAUCGGCCCUGAAUCAGCCCGAGGUGGUCCGAAUAAGACAAAAUGACCGGCGUGUAGGUGAACAUCUGUGAACGGUGGAGCGACGCGCCAGUUAAACGUGUUCGUUUAUUACCACUCAGUUGCUGCAUGAGGAAAAACAUUAAGUACGAAAAAAAGAUUCUUCCCUAUUCUGUGACGACGGAGACUCGCACACGUACGUACACCGGCCGACCGACGGAUCGAUCCGAAGCCCCGAGGAAACAUGUUAGCGUUACUGAUGCUGAUGUAUCACAAAAUGGACAACUUUUUUUUUUUCCCUUCUUUCAGCUGGCUCGCGAAAGGGAAGGUCUAGUGUUUUAUCUGGGAGCACGCUAAUUAGAUAAGUGAAAGUGCAGCAUCAAUAAAGCUAAAAUACAGAAUGAGAUUACCAUAACCCACAUCUGUCCACUGCUCUACACGCUCUACGCGUUAUCGGACACGGGAUCUAGAGGUCCCGAUUGAAGGUUUCUACCGAUCGCAGACACGGUUACUGCUGCAAAAGAAUCACGUACUGUAUAUGAAAAUUUACUACCACAUAACAACAGUAAAAUCCAGAUCGCUCCUGCGCUCGGGUGCGCGCUGGAUUAUUAAUGCCUGACUCGUUCGCAGGACCGCGGAUGUCACCAUGGUAACCAAGCUCAGGUGCGAUUGUGAACUAUGACGUCACCUUAACUGAGGGUUUCAGACCAAAACACAAAGACCGAGCAGUGAUACAAAUUCUGAUCUUCUCUUUUUAGAAAUAUCUAGAAGGAAUAUUAUUUGCUUUGAAGUGGGGGGGGGGUAAUUCUAUUCAGUGUAAUAAUGAUGGAGAUGGAGAAAAAUUCUGCUCUGUGAAUUAUUUAGUAAUUACAGUGGAACUAACAGGAAGUAUAGUCGUAAGAUGCGUUCACAUCUGGAGUCCUGGGAUCAACUGAAGGGGAGUAACAUCCUGAAAUCCCCAAAUCAAGGCUUCGUUCUUGUGUUUGCUAGCCGUAUUAUUGAACGAUGCCGCAUUUCCGACAUGCUUAAGCACUUACUGGGGUCUACGGCUACGCCAGGCAUCGCUACGAUGUAAUCAGAGGCCUUCGUUUACAGCGACGAUAUUUAUACGUUCAUUUCCAGUGCCUGCUCGGUCCUGGUCGGGUGUGAGGACGUCCCGGCACGCACGCGAGUCCGGCGCACAGCAUCGUGGACACACGCUUUCGCAUACAGGGGUUCUUUCGAGUCACCAGUCUGCCUACUGCUACGUUUCGGGAAGCUGGAAGGAAAGCAGAGAACCCUGAGGAAACAGACGCUGACCUGAGACCGGGAUCGAAGCUGCCGUGCCGCCCGCAAACUUUUCACCCUUCGUGGCAAAGGUGUGAUACUUGAAUUUUUAUUCCUUAUUUGUAGAAAUAACCGGGAGGGUACAUCGAACGUGAUGAAACACAAUGGAUUACGCUGAGGCCUUAGCAAAGGUGUAUUGAGUCGCUGAGGAAAAGCGUUCGGAAAUCUGACGUCUGGCUUGGACUGCUUGUUUGUGUUUGUAUACGCCUCCUGUCAGUCAUUUUACAGACGCUCAACUCCGUCUUACUUAAUGCACAUUAAAAUCCCCGUGAAGAGUCUUGAAACGCACAGCCUUAUUCGACGUGCUGAUGUAAUUUCCACCGAAAUGACUGAAUCUCGAGCGGCUCCUCCCCCCUUUCUAAACAGCCAAUAGCGUUUUGCUUACCUCACAGCCCGGGCUAAAUCUGAAUAGAAAACAGACACGUGCUCGCCGAUAUGAUUCCUCUCGCUCAACGACGGCAACUUCGGCAAUUAUUUAUAAGGUUGUGGGCGGGACAAGCUGAAGUGCAGAACGACGUCAUGGAAACCGUUGAUGCGUAUUGAUGUUAGAGUGAAACUGUACGUUCUGAGUGCGUAUAUCUUCUAAAUACGGGUUUAGUCGUCGUUCUGGAGCGCACUAGCUCAUAGAUAACCGUAGCGCUGACUCAUAUCCGUACUAAAAGCCGCAAAAUUCCCUAUUUCAAGAGGAUUUUUAACAAAGUAAGGUACGGUAUUUCAUCCUCGACGCAAGCCAAGAAUCGACGCGUGCACCGGCGCCAAACUGAUCCGAUCUGAUUUAAGUCUCUUACGGUCUCCUGUUCCUUGCAUUCAUAACGAUUUCGUUGCAUUUGAUCACGACAGCACCACGACGUUGUACCGCCUGUACCGCGGAAAUAUAUCAAGAAGUGUCGCCCAGAACAGGACGGUGAGUCAGGGCGCUCUCGCGGCUUCGUCCUCAUGAUGUCUCAGGGAGUUUUUCCCUCGCCGCCGUCGCUCGUUAAGUUUCCAGAUCUACUUCCUGCGCUGUGAGCAUGUCCGGUGCUAAAAGCACUAUCUAAAAAAAAAAUGAACCGGACUGGAAGUGCGAGUGAUUUCCGGCGGUUGAGAAGAUUCGAGGGAGGUUAUCAGGUUACCCAGAGUGCAUCCUUUUCUCUGUGAAACGCUGAAGGUGUGCAUGGUGCUAGACUUUCAUUUAAAAUAGGUAAAUAUUCACCAUUCGGUCUUCUUAUCCGGCCGAACCAGGUUCGGCGGGCUGUGAAACCAGCUCUGGGCCUGUUUCCGUGAGUGCACAUGGUCAAGUAGACAUGAUGAUGGUGAUGAUGGUGAUGGUGAUGAUGGUGCUUUAAGGCUAAGCUUGGAGAGAACAUAUAUAUACACACAUAUAUAUAUAUAUAUAUAUGUUCUCUCCAAGAACAUC
ensembl:lncRNA